GUUGCAAAGCUGAAGACAAUAUUCUUAUCUUUCCCCAGGAGAGAUUUAUUUCUGUUCCAAAAAGUGUAAUAUGAAAACAAAAUCUUCCAAGGGGAUAAAAGUUUUUCUCCUUCCUUCAUGAUGGGAGAAGGACAGUAUGUACACAGAAACCUUCUGACUAAUCUCAUUAUCUUAAGAUGCUGUGGGAUCGGAUCUGGCAACAGUACCUUCAGUCAAGGAACCACACAAGCAGGAAGAUCCCCUGGAGAAGGAAAUGGCAACCUACUCUAAUAGUCUUGUUUGGGGAAUCCUAUGGACAGAAGAGUCUGGUGAGCUUACUAGGACUGUGAUUUCAUUAAUAUAACAUGUUCAUCAACUGAGAUUCUGCCAAAUUGAAUUUUAUAAUUGGUAUUUAUAUCCUGAUAAUCAGUAAAUGUAUUUUAGUAUAUUUC
rnacentral:lncRNA from 1 species